rnacentral:rRNA from 1 species
CACGUAGGGCGCAAGCGUUGUCCGGAAUUACUGGGCGUAAAGCGCACGUAGGCGGCUUGGUAAGUUAGAGGUGAAAGCCCGGAGCUCAACUCCGGAAUUGCCUUUAAGACUGCCGAGCUAGCAGGUGAGAGAGGCGAGUGGAAUUCCUGGUGUAGCGGUGAAAUGCGCAGAUAUCAGGAGGAACACCAAUUGCGAAGGCAGCUCGCUGGGACGUUACUGACGCUGAGACGCGAAAGCGUGGGGAGCAAACAGG